rnacentral:rRNA from 1 species
CACAAGCGGUGGAGCAUGUGGUUAAUUCGAAGCAACGCGAAGAACCUUACCAGGCCUUGACAUGCAGAGAACUUCAGAGAUGGAUUGGUGCCUUCGGGAACUCUGACACAGGUGCUGCAUGGCUGUCGUCAGCUCGUGUCGCGAGAUGUUGGGUUAAGUCCCGUAACGAGCGCAACCCUUGUCCUUAGUUACCAGCACGUUAUGGUGGGCACUCUAAGGAGACUGCCGGUGACAAACCGGAGGAAGGUGGGGAUGACGUCAAGUCAUCAUGGCCCUUACGGCCUGGGCUACACACGUGCUACAAUGGUCGGUACAAAGGGUUGCCAAGCCGCGAGGUGGAGCUAAUCCCAUAAAACCGAUCGUAGUCCGGAUCGCAGUCUGCAACUCGACUGCGUGAAGUCGGAAUCGCUAGUAAUCGUGAAUCAGAAUGUCACGGUGAAUACGUUCCCGGGCCUU